GGAAACUUUACUUUUACUUUCACUUUCGCUUUCGCUUUACUUUCGCUUUCACUUUAAUCUUGCCACCGCACACUCGUUGGGUACACGCGUUUCUCCAGUCAAGCUGUAACACUCACCACCGCGGUCCACGGAUUCAUUCCUUGAAGCCUGUGAGGCCACGAUCCCUUCAAUUGAGAAAAGACCUUUGAUAGGGAGAAGACUUCUCAUCUCAGGGUAUCCCUCCUCUAUUGAAUAUUCUGGACUCUCCCCAGGAUUCUGAAGAUUACCAUGCUGGAGUGCAAUGUUGCCAUCUUGGUUCACCGCAACCUCUGCCUCCCAGGAUCAAGUGAUUCUCCUGCCUUAGCCUCCUGAGUAGCUGGGAUUACAGGUAUGUGCCACCAUGUCUGGCUAAUUUUGCAUUUUUAGUAGAGACAGGGUUUCUCCAUGUUGCUCAGGCUGGUCUGCAACUCCAGACCUCAGGUGAUCUGCCCACUUCGGCCUCCCAAAGUGUUGGGAUUACAGGUGUGAGCCACUGCGCUCAGCCAACAUCCUUGUGUUUUUAAGCUCAUCUUUUUUUCUCUAACCAAAUAAUCAAUCUCAGAGAUUCAACACUAUGUUUCUUAAAAAAAUACAAUAUUCUAAUAUAUGCUUUCUGCAUUCCUUAUUAUUACACCUUCUAGCAACAACACUGAGACUAGUUUUAACUAUUAUUAUUUUUCAAGCAUUUCAGCUGUAAAAGAAAAAAGUAUUUGAAGCAGCUCUCAAUCACAUUAGAGGUUUAUUUUUCCAAUGUUGAGGACACACCCACGUAAAGGAGACAUGUGCCACAGUAUGAUCUGUGGCCUGAGCUCUUCUCCAAAGAGGGUUUUGCGGGCUUCAGUAUUUAAAAGGGAAAAAGUUGGCGGAGGGGGCAAAAAGAAGAAAAAGGCAGAGUAGACAAAUGGGGCAAGUAGUUAUAUUCAUUUGAGGCCUUGAUUAGUACUCACUGAAUCUACAUGUUGUGGUGAAAAGAUGGGGCAGAGGAAUAGUCAAUUAUGUAUUCAUCUCACGCUCAGUAAAUCUGGACUUUACUUAACAUAAUGUAAACACAGAGUUGAGGAAGAAGUCAAAUACGCAUUCGUCUCAGGGUGAGCAGAGGGGUGAUUUUUAGUCUCCUCUUGUCCCAUACCUAUGAAGAUAAACAAUUCAUCUACAUUGUCAGGAUGAGGGAGAUCACCUAGUAAGAUGUAUGUAUAGGAACAAAAGGGAAAGGCAGGUUUUCUGUGACUCCAUUUCCAAGCAUAACUUUUCCUUUUGGCAUAUUGAGUUUGGGGUCCCAAGAUUUUGUUGUCCUUUCACACAAACAUUGUUCUAAGCACUCUAUAUUAACCAAAUUUAAUUCACAUAGCAAUCCUGUAUUUGUUUAUUUUUGUUGUUGUUGUUAUUUUAUCAUUCCCCUACCCAAUCCUAUGUUAGAGAUGAAGAAAUUGAGGCACAGAGAUACUUAGUUUCCCAGGUACAUAUAGCUCACAUGUGUCAGGGCAGAGAUUUGAAAAUACGCAACCCAUUUCAAGAGUCUAGAAGUAGUUAAUUUAGUCAUUAUCCAUCCUAUAUUGCUCCCCUAUGCUGUGUAAUAAUAAAUAGAUUAUGUUGCUCUUCUUCUUAUAAACCUUCUGUGAAGCUUCUUAUCACCUUUAAAAUAACAUGAUGUAGGUCUUAUAAUAUGACAAGAUCCUCUAUGAUUUACUCCUUCCUCUCUCUCUCUUACUUCACAUCCAUUCUAAAAUUGUGCUUAGUAGACAAAUGGAGCAAACUUCUUACACUACAUCGUUACUGGCCUUCCAUGUUCUCUCCCUUGUGAGAUCUGAGAAAUUUGCCCCUUAUCUUGUUUACUGUGAAAACUUUCAUUCUUUCUUUAGGAUUUAUCCCUGAAGCUGAAGCACGUACUAAGAGAUUCUAAAUCAGGCAGCCAAACUGGAAUAGAAAUCUCUCCUGCAGACUCUCGUGAUUAGAAUGAGAAUCUCAUGACAUUUCAAGUUGACCAAUUAACAAGUGACCCAGGACUAUUUUGAAUCAUAUCUGUAGUUUUCCAGAAAUGAGGGCAGAUGUUGUGUCACUGCAAUGAUGCAAUGGAUAUAAAAAACAAGUGUGAUGGCAGGACCCUCAGAGCCCAUUGAACCCACAAAUUGAUACAAUAGUUUUCUACCUCUCAUGUGUUUACUGUAUCUCUUGAAACUGAAGUAGAAUCAAAUUUAGAUGCUGGGAUUCACAUGUAGAUAAAAGCAAAUUUUCAUUAUUUUCUGCACACAAGCUUACAUUUUAAUUUAUUUCCCCAAUUUGCCUAAGCAAAAAUUUUAUUUUAUUUCAAUUCAGUAUACUCAGUCAGAUCUAGUGAUUUGAUUAAUAUUGUCAUUAUUGUCCAAUUCAUAGUUUAAUCACUUCGGGGGAUACAGGCAGUCUUUCAUUGUUUCUUCCCACUUCAUCUGUCCCUUCUUUUCACUCAAGGGCAUAUGCUGGUCACCCAAGCACUGAUGUAGUAAACAGUGUCCUCAUAAAUCUCCAACUGUUGAGUCAUCUCUUGAUUAGUUUAAUUUAUCUUGGCGUCCUGGCUAGCAGAUGUUCUCUGCUUUGCUGGUCUGUGCUGGUGCUGCCUGCUUUGCCCCUCUGUUCUGCUGUGUAUAAUCCUGGCCUUUACUGCUGCCUACUGCUGCCAAUUGUGCACAGCAAAAUUCUACCUUCCCUCAAAAGGAAGCUCUUUUUCAUUUCCUCAUGAAACCUUUGGCUUAUUAAUCAUUCAGUGUUCUACAAGAAAAGCUCCCAAGUGUUUCUCUCCACCACAUCAGUGCAUGUUUUGUUUGUAAAGCUGUCCUCAGGAUAAUCCCACAGGAUAAUCCUCCCAUUUCUUGACUACUGUUCCAAAGAUUGUUCCAAUCUUAGUGUGAAUCUUAGUGACAUCUUAUACUGGAUGUUAGGUUUUAUGAAAGCUUUUAAAAUGAAUGAAAACUGUAUUUCUGAUUUGAAUUGUGAUAGAAAGAGCUCUAAAAUGCUACCCUUAUGCUUUUCUACCAAAAUCCAUGCAAUACUGUUUAUAAGUCAAGUCUGCAGUCCCCAAGUCACAGUCCAGUACCAGUCUGUGGCCUGUUGAGAACUAAGCAGCCCAACAGGAGAUGAGUGGUAGGAGAGCCAGUGAAGCUUCCUCUGUGUUUACAGCCACUCCCCAUUGUUUACAUUACUACCUGAGCUCCGCCUCCUGUCAGAUCAGUGGGGUAUUAGAUUCUCAUAGGAGCCCAAACCCUGUUGUGAACUCUGCACGCAAGGGAUCUAGGUUGUGUGCUCCUUAUGAGAAUCUAACUAAUGCCUGAUGAUCUGAGGUGGAACAGUUUCAUCCAGAAACCAUCCUCAGCCCCAGCACCACCUUCUUUGGAACAGUUUCAUCCAGAAACCAUCCUCAGCCCCAGCACUCCCUUCUGUGGAAAAAUUUUCUUUUAGGAAACCUUCCUGGUGCCAAAAAAGUUCUGAGCCACUUGUUUAUAUGAUGAAAUAUGAAACCCACGAUUGUUACGUUACAUGACAAAGGGAUGUGGCAUAUGUAAUUAAGGCUACCAAUCAGUUGAUUUUGACUUAUUCAAAAGAGAGAAUAUCCAUGUGGGCCCAAUCUAGCCAAAUGAGCCAUUUAAAAGGCGAGUUUUCUCUAAUUCAUGAUAGAAAGGGACAUACGAUAGAUUUGAAGCAUUAGAAGGAUUCUUAAGUACUAUUGCUGGCUUGAAGAUGGAAGGGAGCCUGCAGCAGGGAAUAAGGGAGCCUAGAAGCUGAGAGCAGGCCCCAGCCAAUAGCCAGGAAGGAAAUGGUGGCUUCAGUUCUACAACUGUAUGCUGCAGAAUUCUAAUUAACAACCUGAGUGACCUUGGAGGCAUAGUCUUUGCCAAAGUCUCCAGACAAAAGUUCCACCUGGACAGCACUUUGAUUUCAGCCUUGCAAUACUUUAAAACAUGAGCAUUCAAGCCAGGCCAGACUUCUGGCCUAUGAAACUGUGAGACA
rnacentral:lncRNA from 10 species